rnacentral:rRNA from 1 species
AGGAGCAUGUGGUUUAAUUCGAUGAUACGCGAGGAACUUACCUGGGCUCGAACGUAAGAUGACUGUAGGUGAAAGCUUACAUCUCUUCGGAGCAUUUUACGAGGUGCUGCAUGGUUGUCGUCAGCUCGCGCCGUGAGGUGUCGGGUUAAGUCCCAUAACGAGCGCAACCCCUGCCUUUAGUUGCCAUCAGGUUAAGCUGGGGACUCUAAAGGAACUGCCUACGCAAGUAGUGAGGAAGGCGGGGAUGACGUCAAAUCAGCACGGCCCUUACGUCCAGGGCUACACACGUGCUACAAUGGCCGAUACAGAGGGCAGCUACCUGGUGACAGGAUGCAAAUCUCCAAAGUCGGUCUCAGUUCGGAUCGGAGUCUGCAACCCGACUCCGUGAAGUUGGAUUCGCUAGUAAUCGCGCAUCAGCCAUGGCGCGGUGAAUACGUUCCCGGGCCUU